rnacentral:rRNA from 1 species
UGCCAGCAGCCGCGGUAAUACGGAGGGUGCAAGCGUUAUCCGGAAUCACUGGGUGUAAAGGGUGCGUAGGCGGUUUAGUAAGUCAGAUGUGAAAGCCCGGGGCUCAACCCCGGGAUUGCAUUUGAAACUGCUAAACUAGAGUGCAGGAGAGGAAAGUGGAAUUCCUAGUGUAGAGGUGAAAUUCGUAGAUAUUAGGAGGAACACCAGUGGCGAAGGCGGCUUUCUGGACCGAUACUGACGCUGAGACGCGAAAGCGUGGGGAGCAAACAGGAUUAGAUA